rnacentral:rRNA from 1 species
ACUCCUACGGGAGGCAGCAGUUAGGAAUAUUCGGCAAUGGGGGAAACCCUGACCGAGCGACACUGCGUGAAGGAGGAAGGCCUUAGGGUUGUAAACUUCUGAACGAGAGACGAUAAUGACGGUAUCUCGGUAAUAGCACCGGCUAACUCCGUGCCAGCAGCCGCGGUAAUACGGAGGGUGCGAGCGUUAUCCGGAAUCACUGGGCGUAAAGGGCGCGUAGGCGGUUACAUAAGUCCGAUGUUAAAGCGUAGGGCUCAACCCUAUAAAGGCGUUGGAUACUGUGAAACUAGACUUCUGGAGAGGUAAGUGGAAUUACCAGAGUAGCGGUGAAAUGCGUAGAUACUGGUAGGAACACCCAUAGCGAAGGCAGCUUACUGGACAGAGAGUGACGCUGAGGCGCGAAAGUGUGGGGAGCAAACCGGAUUAGAUACCCUGGUAGGUC